CGACUGGGUGGGCCGGCCCGGCCCGGCCGCCCUGCUGGGGCUGCCCGGCAGCGUGGUACAGGCCGGGAUGGUCGGC
rnacentral:tRNA from 1 species